UGGGGGAUAUUGCACAAUGGGCGAAAGCCUGAUGCAGCGACGCCGCGUGGGGGAUGAAGGCCUUCGGGUUGUAAACUUCUUUUGCUCUGAACAAGGCAUGCCAAUGGGUGUGUUGAGUGUAGGGGUUGAUUAGCGCCGGCUAAAUACGUGCCAGCAGCCGCGGUAAUACGUAUGGAGCGAGCGUUGUCCGGAAUUAUUGGGCGUAAAGGGUACGCAGGCGGUUUAAUAAGUCGAAUGUUAAAGAUCGGGGCUCAACCCCGUAAAGCAUUGGAAACUGAUAAACUUGAGUAGUGGAGAGGAAAGUGGAAUUCCUAGUGUAGUGGUGAAAUACGUAGAUAUUAGGAGGAAUACCAGUAGCGAAGGCGACUUUCUGGACACAAACUGACGCUGAGGUACGAAAGCGUGGGGAGCAAACAGG
rnacentral:rRNA from 1 species